AGGUGACAAAUUGAAUAUUUUAAACGUUUAAAUGAAGAGAAUUUAGAAAUGGCUAUUAUAAACAGUUGUAACCUGAGAGUUAUUACAGCGUGUGACAGUCUUAGUGUUGUUUAUAAAAUGGGUUAGGGAGAGGUUUUACCAAGUGGAGCAUUUGAUUGCAAGAAUGGAAUCUCUCCCAGACUGUAUGGUGGUCCCAGUGAUAUGGUGUCCAGAUGACAGAACUUUGUUUAGAGAGUAUUCUAUUAGAAAUUUAAAACCAUGCAAAUGUGCAUGUCCAGCUGCAAAAUGAUUUUACAUUGACUAAUGUCUGGCACGUUAUACUCUUUGUGCAUUGUCAGAAAACUU
rnacentral:lncRNA from 1 species